CCUACGGGAGGCAGCAGCGGGGAAUAUUGGGCAAUGGAGGAAACUCUGACCCAGCGACGCCGCGUGCGGGAUGAAGGCCUUCGGGUUGUAAACCGCUUUCAGUAGGGAAGAAGCGAAAGUGACGGUACCUACAAAAGAAGCACCGGCUAACUAUGUGCCAGCAGCCGCGGUAAUACAUAGGGUGCAAGCGUUGUCCGGAAUUAUUGGGCGUAAAGAGCUCGUAGGUCGUUUGUUACGUCGGAUGUGAAAACCUGAGGCUCGACCUCAGGCCUGCAUUCGAUACGGGCAAACUAGAGUUUGGUAGGGGAGACUGGAAUUCCUGGUGUAGCGGUGGAAUGCGCAGAUAUCAGGAGGAACACCAAUGGCGAAGGCAGGUCUCUGGGCCAAUACUGACACUGAGGAGCGAAAGUCUGGGGAGCGAACAGGAUUAGAUACCCUGGUAGUCCAGACCGUAAACGGUGGGCACUAGUUGUGGGAACCUUCCACGGUUUCUGCGACGCAGCUAACGCAUUAAGUGCCCCGCCUGGGGAGUACGAUCGCAAGAUUAAAACUCAAAGGAAUUGACGG
rnacentral:rRNA from 1 species